rfam:Hepacivirus C isolate P20_Baseline_Nigeria polyprotein (POLY) gene, complete cds; and protein F-like (POLY) gene, complete sequence
CCAAUACCGGGAGCAGCCAACUUGGAUUUAUCCAAUUGGUUUACUGCCGGCUACAGCGGGGGAGACAUAUAUCACAGCGUGUCUCAUGCCCGGCCCCGCUGGUUUAUGUUUUGCCUACUCCUACUAUCCGUAGGGGUAGGCAUUUACCUGCUCCCCAACCGAUGA